CAUCAAGACCCCUCUCAAGGCUGUAAAUGUUCGUACUGAAUCAAGAGAAAUUAAGGUGUUGAAUGAUUUGAGUGCAUAAAUUAGUGAUAACGUUAAGAUACAUAUAUUUAAUAUUUUUCCAUUAAUAUUCUUUACUUCAAGCCAACCCAAAAAGAAUUAGCCAGCCUUUUAAGGUCAUUUGGGACAUACUAAAGCAUCAUACAAUAUCAACCAUACUUGCCCAUAUGAUGUAAGUGAACUGGAUCCAAUAUGGGGGGAAAUAAUCGUCCCGGGAAUGGCACCAGAUCUGUCUGCGAUCAAAUCAUUGGUUCCAACAGGCACUUAUCGUUUUGUUUUCACGGUUACAGAAGGAAUUUCCAAUACAUGGUUAUAUACCAUUUCGAGUUACUGGCAAACUUUCAAGUGCCCUACUUGAGUGAUUGAAGCAUACAAGCAUUCAUCUUAGA